UACGUAGGGUGCGAGCGUUUGUCCGGAAUUAUUGGGCGUAAAGAGCUCGUAGGCGGUUUGGUAAGUCGGGUGUGAAAACCCCAGGCUCAACCUGGGGACGCCACCUGAUACUGCUAUGACUUGAGUCUGGUAGGGGACCACGGAAUUCCUGGUGUAGCGGUGAAAUGCGCAGAUAUCAGGAGGAACACCGGUGGCGAAGGCGGUGGUCUGGGCCAGUACUGACGCUGAGGAGCGAAAGCGUGGGUAGCAAACAGG
rnacentral:rRNA from 1 species